rnacentral:lncRNA from 1 species
GGGGGAUGCAGGGAUGCAGGUGAGGCGAGCAGGCCGCCUUCCCCCCCGCAGCGCGAGCGGGAGUGCGUGGGAAGGAGUUAGACAAAGCCCGAGCCCGGGAGCAGAGGCAAGCGCUGCCGGGAGCUAGACGGGGCCGUUCUUCCCUCCCCGUGCUCCCCCACCCUCGGGCGAGGGGCACUCGGGAGCCCAUCUCCGUCCCGCCACGCUGGCACGCUGUCCCGGUCCCUCGGGCUGACCGGGGCGCAGCCCUGGCCCCGGGAAUGCCCGGGAGGGAAGCGGCCGUCUCCAUCACCAGGGGUGCCUGCACCGCGUCUCCCGCUCCAGCAGCCCCAGCAGCGCCUGGAUCCCGCUCCCGGUCCUGCUGCGCCGGGAGAAGGCUGACUUUUACGACCCGUGGUGGGACUAGCAU